rnacentral:misc_RNA from 1 species
AGCAGCCGCGGUAAUUCCAGCUCCAAUAGCGUAUAUUAAAGUUGUUGCAGUUAAAAAGCUCGUAGUUGAAUUUCGGGAUCAAUAUAUCGGUCGUGCCUUGGUACGUACUGGUAUCAUUGGUUUCUCCUUUCUGACGAACCAUGAUGUCAUUAAUUUGGUGUUAUGGGAAGUUAGGACUGUUACUUUGAAAAAUUAGAGUGUUUAAAGCAGGCUUUGGCUUGAAUACAUUAGCAUGGAAUAAUGAAAUAGGACGUUCGAACCUAUUUUGUGGUUUCUAGGAUCAACGUAAUGAUUAAUAGGGAUAGUUGGGGGCAUUAGUAUUCAAUUGUCAGAGGUGAAAUUCUUGGAUUUAUUGAAGACUAACUACUGCGAAAGCAUUUGCCAAGGAUGUUUUCAUUAAUCAAGAACGAAAGUUAGGGGAUCGAAGACGAUCAGAUACCGUCGUAGUCUUAACCAUAAACUAUGCCGACUAGGGAUCGGAUGAUGUUAAUUUUUUAAUGUACUCAUUCGGCGCCUUACG